rnacentral:tRNA from 1 species
UGCGGGGUGGAGCAGUCUGGUAGCUCGUUGGGCUCAUAACCCAAAGGUCGUAGGUUCGAAUCCUGCCCCCGCUACUA